AUUGCAAUGUUUAUUUAUUCCUACCAUAGAAAUUUCACCAAGUCCACCUAAAAUAAACCCUACUUUUCCAUAUUAGCUUCUAAGAUGCCACUUUGGGAAUUACUUGUUCUUCUAAAUUCUUCUUCCACCGCCACUUUAUUCCUUCCUCCUCUCAAGAUUUUGGGCUUCUUUGGAACUCAAGUGAGGCGUAAUCCAUCAUCCCGCUCCGUUCAUAGAUAUUCACAGCAUCACGGUCCUUUUUGGUUUUUAUGACCCUUUUCAUCUUCCAAAUAAUCCUGGAUGGCCACUUCACAGUUAUCUUGCCUAUAUCUGUUCAAGGUCGGGCCUUGGUAAGUUUCACUUUUUCUACUACUGUGAGAAUCGUGGUUUUGCAGAUCUGGGAUUGUCGUUUGUUGGAGAAGCUGAAAUAUCUCUUUCACAAGGUAGAUCUAAUGGAGGGGGGAGUCAUGAGAACAUGCCAAAUGUAGUGAGAUGGGAACUAAACAAAUGAAAGAAGGUUCUGAGGUUCAUCAUCCUUGCUAAAUCUAUUUAUUGGAACUCCCUCACUAUUAAUUCCUUUGAUGAUCUAUCUAUAAGUGGCAGUGAUACAGUGGAAACUGAUGAUACUCCUGCAACUGAAAUCUGCAUAUCUCCUGAGAGGUCUAUGUAAUUAACUAAUUGAUUAUUGCAUUCAUUUCUUUGUACUCCGUGCUAGAUGUAAAUUAUGGAAUCUAACAAAUAUGAACUUGAAGAUUGCAAGCUUUCAGUGCAACACUUGGUAGGCACAAGAACUUACAACACAUGGAACAAAUUCUAAUUGCCGAUGUGGAGAGCGUUGUCAAUAAUGGGGCGAAUGUACCUUACUUAAAGGUGAAUAUAGAGAAAUUAUUACAGAUGAUGCAAGAGAAAGACCAGUUGUGGAUACACAGUGAUAACAAGUACAGUUUGUCUCCUCUUUGAUGGAAUGUCCAAGCCUACGUAUAUGCGGGAAUCCUUCUGUAGAACCAUCACUUCUCUUAUCUUUCGUAUUGUAGUAGUAGUAGUAGUAUGAUUGUAGUACAAUUAGUAGUAUACCAUCUCUUGAACCAUAACUUCGCUUACCUUUCCUAUUUUACUGAAACUAAAUAGGUAAUUCAUUAUGUAUUUGAAUUUAUGAUGACCAUCAGCUAUUUAGCUUUAAACAGAAGUUGUCUCCUUGAUAGAAAA